CGCCCGUCGCUCCUACCGAUUGGGUGUGCUGGUGAGAUGUCGGGAUUAGUGGUUGUGGGCGGUUCGCCGCCCUCUGCCGCUGAGAACUUCAUCAAACCCUCCCACCUAGAGGAAGGAGAAGUCGUAACAAGGUUCCU
rnacentral:rRNA from 1 species